rnacentral:rRNA from 1 species
AUGCAUGAUUUAACUAAGGAAAACAUUGAGCGUAUGAAUGCUAAAUAUAAACUUGCUGGAGAUAAGGGUAGAAAACAUGUUGUGUUUGCACCUGGAGAUCUUGUUUGGUUACAUUUGCGUAAGGAUAGAUUUCCUGAUUUGCGCAAAUCAAAGUUAAUGCCACGUGCUGAUGGUCCCUUUAAGGUGUUAGAGAAAAUAAAUGAUAAUGCAUAUAAACUUGAGCUGCCUGCAGAUUUUGGGGUUAGUCCCACUUUUAACAUUGCAGAUUUGAAGCCUUAUUUGGGUGAGGAAGAUGAACUUCCGUCGAGGACGACUUCAUUUCAAGAAGGGGAGGAUGAUGAGGACAUCAAUACAAUUGUUACACCCACAGCCCCUGCUGCUAUACAUACUGGACCAAUUACUAGAGCUCGUGCACGCCAACUAAAUUACCAGGAAACAGACCCUUGUGGUCAGGUUGAUCGUGCUCCGACGUGGUCAAUAACCUCUCGGAGUUGGUUUAGCGAUUGCUAA